GAUGAAGAACGUAGCGAAAUGCGAUACGUAAUGUGAAUUGCAGAAUUCAGUGAAUCAUCGAAUCUUUGAACGCAUAUUGCGCUCUCUGGUAUUCCGGAGAGCAUGCUUGUUUGAGUAUCAGUAAACACCUCAACUCCCUUUUCUUUUUUGAAAUGGGAGCUGGACUUGAGUGAUCCCAACACUUUUCUCACUGGAAAGUGGCGGGUCAAUUGAAAUGCAGGUGCAGCUGGACUUUUCUCUGAGCUAUAAGCAUAUCUAUUUAGUCUGCCUAAAAAACAGAUUAUUACCUUUGCUGCAGCUAACAUAAAGGAGAUGAGUUCUUGUGCUGACUGAUGCAGGAUUCACAGAGACAGCUUUGCGGCUGACUUUGUAAACUCGAUCUCAAAUCAAGUAAGACUACCCGCUGAACUUAAGCAUAUCAAUAAGCGGAGGA
rnacentral:misc_RNA from 1 species